rnacentral:rRNA from 1 species
UUAGGUUAAGUUAUGAAGGGCGCAUGGUGGAUGCCUUGGUACUAGGAGCCGAUG